rnacentral:rRNA from 1 species
UACGAAGGAUGCAAGCGUUAUCCGGAUUCAUUGGGUUUAAAGGGCGCGUAGGCGGCGCAACAAGUCACUUGUGAAAUCUCCGGGCUUAACUCGGAACGGUCAAGUGAUACUGUUGUGCUAGAGUGCGGAAGGGGCAACUGGAAUUCUCGGUGUAGCGGUGAAAUGCGUAGAUAUCGAGAGGAACACCUGCGGCGAAGGCGGGUUGCUGGGCCGACACUGACGCUGAUGCGCGAAAGCCAGGGGAGCGAACGGG